rnacentral:rRNA from 1 species
AUUGAACGCUGGCGGAAUGCUUUACACAUGCAGGUCGAACGAUGAACCUUAGCUUGCUAGGGGGAUUAGUGGCGAACGGGUGAGUAAUAUAUCGGAACGUAUCCAAUAAUGGGGGAUAACUAGUCGAAAGAUUAGCUAAUACCGCAUACGCCCUGAGAGGGAAAGCUGGGGAUCUUCGGACCUAGCGUUAAUGGAGCGGCCGAUAUCUGAUUAGCUAGUUGGUGGGGUAAAGGCUCACCAAGGCGACGAUCAGUAGCUGGUCUGAGAGGACGACCAGCCACACUGGAACUGAGACACGGUCCAGACUCCUACGGGAGGCAGCAGUGGGGAAUUUUAGACAAUGGGGGCAACCCUGAUCCAGCCAUUCCGCGUGAGUGAAGAAGGCCUUCGGGUUGUAAAGCUCUUUCGCAAGGGAAGAAAACUUACAUUCUAAUAAAGUGUGAGGCUGACGGUACCUUGAUAAGAAGCACCGGCUAACUACGUGCCAGCAGCCGCGGUAACAC